UACGAGGGGGGCAAGCGUUGUUCGGAGUUAUUGGGCGUAAAGGGUGCGUAGGCGGUCUGACAAGUCUGCUGUGAAAUCUAUGGGCUCAACCCAUAGUCUGCAUCGGAAACUGUCGGGCUUGAGUAUGGGAGAGGUGAGUGGAAUUUCCGGUGUAGCGGUGAAAUGCGUAGAUAUCGGAAGGAACACCUGUGGCGAAAGCGGCUCACUGGACCAUGACUGACGCUGAGGCACGAAAGCGAGGGGAGCAAACAGG
rnacentral:rRNA from 1 species